ensembl:miRNA gga-mir-1561 gga-mir-1561
CCGCCUCCGGCCGGGUUUGCGGCCGCUUUUUGUUCCCGGCCGCGGGGCUUCGGAGCGGAACGGCCGCCGCGUGCCGUGGGGGUGG